GUUGCCCCUAGAGGCACUGCAGGUGUGGCUACUGUGUUACAUGUGUGUCAGUGGGUGGUAGAGAGGAGAGGGGCUGUGUCUACACUUGGGGUUCUGACCUGGGAACAUCUGCAUGAUUAGCUGCCUAACAUC